rnacentral:rRNA from 1 species
UACGAAGGGGGCUAGCGUUGUUCGGAAUUACUGGGCGUAAAGCGCGCGCAGGCGGUCUUCCAAGUCAGUGGUGAAAGCCCGGAGCUCAACUCCGGAACUGCCAUUGAAACUGUAAGACUUGAGGACGAGAGAGGUGAGUGGAAUUCCCAGUGUAGAGGUGGAAAUUCGUAGAUAUUGGGAAGAACACCGGGUGGCGAAGGCGGCUCACUGGCUCGUAUCUGACGCUCAGGCGCGACAGCGUGGGGACUCAAACAGG